rnacentral:lncRNA from 1 species
GUCAUCAAAGAACUAACCUUUCUACAUUUCCCUUGCUCGGGUCAAAGAAAAAAAUAUGUAACAUAAUGGAAAUAACAGCUAAAAUAGCAACUAGACUAGAUGUUCACGACCCUCUCAAUGAUAUCGAUAAAUGACUUGUUUUUGGUAAUAGUGAACAUUACCAUAUGUAAAUUCAGGUGGAUGAUAUAAAUUAGUAUUUUAGUACAUUUCUCUGUCUGAGUCAAAAUAAAUAUGUUUUCGAACCUCCUCUUUAAAUUUCAAAGUGGAUGUUCCUGCACGAAUCUCAGCAGUCACUUGUUCUUAUUCUAUGUAUUGAUCGUUUUGAGCUAAAAGAAAACUUUUGGAUGGAAUAUUUAUAUUAUAUAGAAUAUUUUCACUCUCAAUAGUUACAUACAAGUCUAUAGAACAUAGAAAGGUGAGAAGUCCAUGACGCGUACAUGUCAGUUAUACCAAAUCCUCAUUGAAUUUGAAUUUUCCACUAGAAGGGGCUUGCACAUGUUCUGCAGUACCCCCUGUGAAUACUCCGCUGAUAUGAAAUGUUCUUAAUGUUAAUUUUGAGUACCCGGUUCUCCAAUCAAUUGUCUUGCAAUAAUACCUACAGCUCUCCUAAUUCAACCAGGUCGCCAUGAGUAGGACUUCAACCCUAACAUAAUUGACGAAUCCAAGACACAAUCCUACAAGUACAGGGAGUUCGAAUAGAUAUUGGUUGUGCUGAAAGGUUGAAGUCCAAUCCCAGUGUUUUAAUUUCGACUGAUAAA